AGUGUCCUCUCCACAGUCACUGAGCACACAGGUCCUCACCAUGGGAUGGAGCUGGAUCAUCCUCUUCCUGGUGACAGCAGCUACAGGUGUCCACUCUCAGGUCAAGCUGGAGCAGUCUGGGGCUGAGCUGGUGAAGCCUGGGUCCUCAGUGAAGCUGUCCUGCAAGGCUUCAGGAUACACCUUCACUAGCUACUACAUGUACUGGGUGAAGCAGAAGCCUGGACAAGGCCUGGAGUGGAUUGGAAGGAUUGAUCCUGAAAAUGGUAAUACUAAGUACAAUCAGAAGUUCCAGGGCAAGGCCACACUGACUGCAGACACAUCCUCCAGCACAGCCUACAUGGAGCUCAGAAGCCUGACAUCUGAGGACUCUGCAGUCUAUUACUGUGCAAGAUACACAGUGUUGCAACCACAUCCUGAGUGUGUCAGAAACCCUGGAGGAGCAGGAGGCUGCCCUGGUGUCCAAGCACAAAUCCAGCUGGAGCAGUCAGGAGCUGAGUUGAAGCAACCUGAACAGUCAGUGAAGAUCUCCUGCAUGACGUCACAGAUCAUGCAAUGCAGUGUCCAGUGUGAGUUGCAGCUAGUGGAGUCUGGAGGAGGCUUGGUACAGCCUAGGGGUUCCCUGAAACUCUCCUGUGCAGCCUCUGGAUUCACCCUCAGUGAUUUCUACAUGAACUGGAUCUGUCAACCACCAGGAAAGGGGCUGGAGUGA